GACGAACGCUGGCGGCGUGCUUAACACAUGCAAGUCGAACGGAAAGGCCUUUUCGGAGGUACUCGAGUGGCGCACGGGUGAGUAACACGUGGGUGAUCUUCCCUGCACUCUGGGAUAAGCCUGGGAAACUGGGUCUAAUACCGGAUAGGACCGCACUUUAGUGUGUGUGGUGGAAAGUUUUUUCGGUGUAGGAUGAGCCCGCGGCCUAUCAGCUUGUUGGUGGGGUAAUGGCCUACCAAGGCGGCGACGGGUAGCCGGACUGAGAGGUUGGUCCGCGACAUUGAGUCUGAGGUACGGCCCAGACUCCUAAGGGAGGAAGCAGUGGGGAAGCUUGCACAAUGGGCGCAAGCCGGAUGCAGCGGCGCCGCGUGGGGGAUGACGGCCUUCGGGUGGUGAAAGCGUAGCACGAGAGACGAAGCCUGUUGUGACGGUACCAAGAGAAGAAGCACCGGCUAACUACGUG
rnacentral:rRNA from 1 species